rnacentral:rRNA from 1 species
AGCCAUGGGCAGGUUGAAGGUUGGGUAACACUAACUGGAGGACCGAACCGACUAAUGUUGAAAAAUUAGCGGAUGACUUGUGGCUGGGGGUGAAAGGCCAAUCAAACCGGGAGAUAGCUGGUUCUCCCCGAAAGCUAUUUAGGUAGCGCCUCGUGAAUUCAUCUCCGGGGGUAGAGCACUGUUUCGGCAAGGGGGUCAUCCCGACUUACCAACCCGAUGCAAACUGCGAAUACCGGAGAAUGUUAUCACGGGAGACACACGGCGGGUGCUAACGUCCGUCGUGAAGAGGGAAACAACCCAGACCGCCAGCUAAGGUCCCAAAGUCAUGGUUAAGUGGGAAACGAUGUGGGAAGGCCCAGACAGCCAGGAUGUUGGCUUAGAAGCAGCCAUCAUUUAAAGAAAGCGUAAUAGCUCACUGGUCGAGUCGGCCUGCGCGGAAGAUGUAACGGGGCUAAACCAUGCACCGAAGCUGCGGCAGCGACGCUGAUGCGUUGUUGGGUAGGGGAGCGUUCUGUAAGCCUGUGAAGGUGUGCUGUGAGGCAUGCUGGAGGUAUCAGAAGUGCGAAUGCUGACAUAAGUAACGAUAAAGCGGGUGAAAAGCCCGCUCGCCGGAAGACCAAGGGUUCCUGUCCAACGUUAAUCGGGGCAGGGUGAGUCGACCCCUAAGGCGAGGCCGAAAGGCGUAGUCGAUGGGAAACAGGUUAAUAUUCCUGUACUUGGUGUUACUG